rnacentral:rRNA from 1 species
UGGGGAAUCUUGCGCAAUGGACGAAAGUCUGACGCAGCCACGCCGCGUGAGUGAAGAAGGCCUUCGGGUCGUAAAGCUCUGUCGGAGGGGACGAAAAGUCCAUAGGUUAAUAGCCUAUGGAUCUGACGGUACCCUCAAAGGAAGCACCGGCUAACUUCGUGCCAGCAGCCGCGGUAAUACGAGGGGUGCAAGCGUUGCUCGGAAUUAUUGGGCGUAAAGGGUAGGUAGGUGGUCUCGUUUGUCUGGGGUGAAAGCCUUGAGCUUAACUCAAGAAGUGCCCCAGAAACGGCGAGACUCGAGUCUUGGAGAGGGUCGUGGAAUUCCCGGUGUAGCGGUGAAAUGCGUAGAGAUCGGGAGGAACACCAGAGGCGAAGGCGGCGACCUGGACAAGUACUGACACUCAACUACGAAAGCGUGGGUAGCAAACAGGAUUAGAUACCCCCGUAGUCC